rnacentral:rRNA from 1 species
AACGAACGCUGGCGGCAUGCCUAACACAUGCAAGUCGAACGAGACCUUCGGGUCUAGUGGCGCACGGGUGCGUAACGCGUGGGAACCUGCCCUUAGGUUCGGAAUACCUCCCCGAAAGGGGUGCUAAUACCGGAUAAUGUCUUCGGACCAAAGAUUUAUCGCCUUUGGAUGGGCCCGCGUUGGAUUAGCUAGUUGGUAGGGUAAAAGCCUACCAAGGCGACGAUCCAUAGCUGGUCUGAGAGGAUGAUCAGCCACACUGGGACUGAGACACGGCCCAGACUCCUACGGAAGGCAGGAGUGGGGAAUAUUGGACGAUGAGCGAAAGCCUGAUCCAGCAAUGCCGCGUGAGUGAUGAAGGCCUUAGGGUUGUAAAGCUCUUUUACCCGGGAUGAUAGUGACGGUACCGGGAGAAUAAGCACCGGCUAACUCCGUG